CCUACGGGUGGCUGCAGUGAGGAAUAUUGGUCAAUGGCCGUAAGGCUGAACCAGCCAAGUAGCGUGAGGGAAGACUGCCCUAUGGGUUGUAAACCUCUUUUAUGCGGGGAUAAAGGUGUCCACGUGUGGAUGUUCUCAGGUACCGCAUGAAUAAGGACCGGCUCAUUCCGUGUUAGCAGCCGCGGUAUUACGGAAGGUCCGGGCGUUAUCCGGAUUUCUUGGGUUUAACGGGAGCGUAGGCCGGUCCUUAAGCGUGCCGUGAAAUUUUGUGGCUCAACCCUGGAAGUGCGGCGCGAACUGGGGACCUUGAGUGCGCGGAGGGCAGGCGGAAUUCGUGGUGUAGCGGUGAAAUGCUUAGAUAUCACGAAGAACCCCGAUUGCGAAGGCAGCCUGCCGCAGCGUUACUGACGCUGAGGCUCGAAAGCGCGGGUAUCAAACAGGAUUAGAUACCCCUGUAGUC
rnacentral:rRNA from 1 species